CCGCGGGGACCUGCUGCCUCGUAAAGGGGCUGGGGAGGAGAGCAACGACGAGCCGGAUAAAUACCGGGGAGGAUAAGGGCGUCCUUCCCGCCCUCCCCGCGUCAGUGCGCGUUUGGAGCUGCCUCUGCUUGUCCGGCCACCCAGGGCGGUCCCGCGCCCCUUCCGCGGUGCGGUGCGGUGCAGUGCGCGCAGGCUGAGCGCGGAGCUGCUGCUACUGCUGAAGCACCUCGUAGCCGGAUUCCUGGUGUAUUCCCAGAGACGCGGGGGAGACCCGAGCCCCGGCAGACGUCUGCCUGUCCCAGCCCGGCCGAGCCGACGGGAGCCGAGCCGAGCGCGGCGCCGCUCCAUGCCCCCGGGCGCUGGCGGGGCGCGGGGCGUGUGCCGGAGAUGCCCGGGCGGUAAGGCUGGAGCUCCCCUCCGACGGGAGGCGGCCGAUCGCUAGGUGUUUCCAGCAGGAAGCGGGGCUGCAGCAAAACAAUUGUGCAUCCAGACGUGACACCUCAAGGUCAGCUAGUCUGCAUUUCUGGGGUCCAGUUGUCCUUCCAGUUACCUAGAGUACCUGUAUACAUGCUGAGGAUGAAUAAAAGAUACUUACAGAAAGCAACAAAAGGAAAACUGCUAAUAAUAAUAUUUGUUGUAACGCUGUGGGGGAAAUUAGCCUCUGGGGCAAAUCAUCAUAAAGCUCACCAUGUUAAAACUGGGACCUGUGAAGUGGUGGCACUCCACAGAUGUUGCAAUAAGAACAAGAUAGAAGAAAGAUCACAGACGGUGAAGUGCUCCUGCUUCCCUGGGCAGGUAGCAGGUACCACCCGGGCAGCUCCUUCUUGUGUUGAUGCUUCAAUAGUGGAGCAGAAAUGGUGGUGCCACAUGCAGCCAUGUCUUGAAGGGGAGGAAUGUAAAGUUCUUCCAGAUCGUAAGGGAUGGAGCUGUUCCUCUGGGAAUAAAGUGAAAACAACUAGGUCUUUUAUGGCGCCAUGCUGCAGUCCCACUGUGGAGCUGUGAUCACCACAAACCCUUCAAGAGGACAUAUCCUUGUCUGAGUUGCUACAGUUAUUAUCUGUUACAGAAAGUAAAAUAAGGCAAACGUGUAAAACUCCUCAAGCCCGAAUGGAGAAGUAGAGAAAGGAGGUUUCUGCUGUGCCUGAUGACAAUUUUUGAUUUUUCCACAUAAACAAAAUAUUCUGGCUCCACGUUGGAGCACUAGUUGUGAUGAAUCCUAGUCUUGGUCGGAUUCUAAGGAAGGGCCAGAACGUUCGUUGAGGAAUAAAGAGUCAAACCACUCCAGAAAAUGUGUUCCAGCCCUGGUUUAUUACUCACAGAGCAGCAGGUAACCCGAUAGCUAAAGACAAAUCAAGUCAGUCUCAAGGCUGAUAACAUUAAAUACAACACAAGAAUUUCAUUCCUCCAGGCAAUCCUUGAAGUGAAAUUUUAUACUGCUGGGUUGUAUCCUUCAGCAUCAAUUGUUUCAAUGAGAACCUGGCUUGUAAUCAGCAGCAGCCUUGAGAUCAAAACUACUGGAAAGUUAUUCUGAACUUCUGUAUCACAAAGAUUUCAACUGAUUGAACUGUGUACACUUGUAAAAUUGCACUUGCUGAGGAAUUUGCAGCUGUAAUCACAAGAGUUGGUAUUCAAAAGGUGCAGAAAAGCAGCAAUCUUUCGGAUUCUCCAUUCCAGACCGGUGGCUUUUCAUCUUGAUGAAGUCAGCCUCCAAUAUGUGUUGGUUCCCUCUCUCUAAAAUGAAACUUGGACCACCAUUCAGAUUGCUGGUGGGACUGCACACUGCUUUAAUUAAAUUUCUGUUGCAGAAAUCAUCCUCUGGCAUGGCGCAGUUUUAGACAUUUUAAUUUAUAUUCUAAUCUUGGAGCUCUCAAAGGUACAUAUUUCAACAUCUUGAAGUUGCUUUUGUUAUAGGAAUGGAAAUAUAUAUCCAUUGUUAAUAAUUAUUGUUGACAAGUAAUAGUUAUCUGAAUACAUCAGUCAUAUUAGAAUGUAUAGUCAGGUUGACAUGUUUCCCUAAGGCUAACCAACUACUUCAGCUAUUUGGCAGUUAAAAAAGUAGUGGUCAAAACUCAAUUACAACUUCCAUUAUAAGGCAUUUUAUACCUUUAAAAUAUACAUUUCCAUUUAGUUUGAAGGAGAUGAGUGUUCCUGAUAUGUACUUUACUUUCUCAGCCUUUGAUUCAUUGAAAUUCAUGGUAAACAGUCAAUGACAGUAUUUCAUCCCUUUUUAAAAAGGUAUGCAGGGAUGUAAAUGAGUUUUGCAAUUAUGAAAUUGGAUGGUAAUCAUUCAGAAUUUUUCUCUUUUUAUUAAAAAAUAAAAUCUCUUGCUUGAACCUGAGUACUGUUGGAUGCUUAUGUAGAUGUCUGCUCAGCCUUUUUGCUAUAAAGGAAAAAAAGUCCUAGUGCCCUCCUGGAUUUACAGUUCAUGGGUAUUUUGCUUGCUUACAGUCAUCCAAUUCAGAUCUGAUCCUUGGCAAAAUCACAUUUACUUUUUUAUUUUUUCUUUCAGUAGCAAUUUUUGAACUCUGUCAUGUGCUGUUACAUGAAAAAAAUCCUCAAUAUUUAAAGGCCUUAAGCAUCUAUGAGCUUUUUUCUAAGUUAUUACAGAAUGUAUGAUUUUAUACUCCAUUUAAUGUGUAUUGUACCAUCUGUAUUAUUGAUACAACAGAAAUUUGGCAAUUCCCUUUAGUGACACUGCAUAAGCAUGCUAACUGGCUGGAGAGAGUGCGGGAGUUCUGACUGUAUGCUUUGGUACAAAUGAAAGCCACACACUCUUAAUGGUAGUAAAAAUAUGUAGGGGCAAGCUUAUUGAAAAGUUCUGUGUGGCUACCAGACUCCCAGAAAAAGAGGGAAAUUAUUUUAUCAUUACAAGCCAUUGACGUGGCUAGGUAGUCAUAUAUUAAGUUCCAUGAUGGAUGAAUACCCUGGAGUGCUCUGCCUGUCACAGUAGCCCCUGCUGUUACAAACCCAUUUCAUUACCUCUGCUGUAUUAUUGCACAGGAGCGCUUAAAUAAAAUAAAUGACUGUUGGGAAUAAAAUUGAGAAGUAUAUUCUAUCAUUCUGCUGAGAAAUAAUAAAAAAUGUUGGCAGGAAAAGAUAUUCUUUUCUGAUUAAGAUUUAAUUAGAAUAAACUGUUUGUAGCAGCCACUAGGUAUCUCAGUAUUUUAAGGUGGAUUAAUAUUGUAUGGAUUUGUGCUGACAGGUACAGGACAGAAGGUAGGAUAUUAAAGAGAUUGUCUGGGACAGUGCAAAGUGUAAAUGUGCUGUUUUGUAAAAUCUGAAUAUGGCCUCUCUUUGGUCAAAAAUCUACAUCAUGUUUCUCAAUAUUUGGUUUUUUUUUUGUUUGUUUCUUUGUUCUUAAACAAACACUGAAGAUACUGUAUUAUAUACCAGUGUAACACAUGCAUAUCAAUAAGUAAAAAUAAAUGGAUUUUCAAUAUACUGAAUAGAUUAUCUGCAGUAGAUUAAUGUUGUGAAAAUUCAUAACAAGUGAAUAAAAAUUGUAAUAUAAAAUAGA